UACGUAGGGGGCUAGCGUUGUCCGGAAUCAUUGGGCGUAAAGAGCUUGUAGGCGGUUUGUCGCGUCUGCUGUGAAAUUUCGGGGCUCAACCCCGAACUUGCAGUGGGUACGGGCAGACUAGAGUGUGGUAGGGGAGACUGGAAUUCCUGGUGUAGCGGUGAAAUGCGCAGAUAUCAGGAGGAACACCGAUGGCGAAGGCAGGUCUCUGGGCCACUACUGACGCUGAGAAGCGAAAGCAUGGGGAGCGAACAGG
rnacentral:rRNA from 1 species